rnacentral:rRNA from 1 species
CUCAGGACGAACGCUGGCGGCGUGCCUAAUACAUGCAAGUCGAACGAACUCUGGUAUUGAUUGGUGCUUGCAUCAUGAUUUACAUUUGAGUGAGUGGCGAACUGGUGAGUAACACGUGGGAAACCUGCCCAGAAGCGGGGGAUAACACCUGGAAACAGAUGCUAAUACCGCAUAACAACUUGGACCGCAUGGUCCGAGUUUGAAAGAUGGCUUCGGCUAUCACUUUUGGAUGGUCCCGCGGCGUAUUAGCUAGAUGGUGGGGUAACGGCUCACCAUGGCAAUGAUACGUAGCCGACCUGAGAGGGUAAUCGGCCACAUUGGGACUGAGACACGGCCCAAACUCCUACGGGAGGCAGCAGUAGGGAAUCUUCCACAAUGGACGAAAGUCUGAUGGAGCAACGCCGCGUGAGUGAAGAAGGGUUUCGGCUCGUAAAACUCUGUUGUUAAAGAAGAACAUAUCUGAGAGUAACUGUUCAGGUAUUGACGGUAUUUAACCAGAAAGCCACGGCUAACUACGUGCCAGCAGCCGCGGUAAUACGUAGGUGGCAAGCGUUGUCCGGAUUUAUUGGGCGUAAAGCGAGCGCAGGCGGUUUUUUAGAGUCUGAUGCUCGAAAGCCUUCGGCUCAACCGAAGAAGUGCAUCGGAAACUGGGAAACUUGAGUGCAGAAGAGGACAGUGGAACUCCAUGUGUAGCGGUGAAAUGCGUAGAUAUAUGGAAGAACACCAGUGGCGAAGGCGGCUGUCUGGUCUGUAACUGACGCUGAGGCUCGAAAGUAUGGGUAGCAAACAGGAUUAGAUACCCUGGUAGUCCAUACCGUAAACGAUGAAUGCUAAGUGUUGGAGGGUUUCCGCCCUUCAGUGCUGCAGCUAACGCAUUAAGCAUUCCGCCUGGGGAGUACGGCCGCAAGGCUGAAACUCAAAGGAAUUGACGGGGGCCCGCACAAGCGGUGGAGCAUGUGGUUUAAUUCGAAGCUACGCGAAGAACCUUACCAGGUCUUGACAUACUAUGCAAAUCUAAGAGAUUAGACGUUCCCUUCGGGGACAUGGAUACAGGUGGUGCAUGGUUGUCGUCAGCUCGUGUCGUGAGAUGUUGGGUUAAGUCCCGCAACGAGCGCAACCCUUAUUAUCAGUUGCCAGCAUUAAGUUGGGCACUCUGGUGAGACUGCCGGUGACAAACCGGAGGAAGGUGGGGAUGACGUCAAAUCAUCAUGCCCCUUAUGACCUGGGCUACACACGUGCUACAAUGGAUGGUACAACGAGUUGCGAACUCGCGAGAGUAAGCUAAUCUCUUAAAGCCAUUCUCAGUUCGGAUUGUAGGCUGCAACUCGCCUACAUGAAGUCGGAAUCGCUAGUAAUCGCGGAUCAGCAUGCCCGGG